AUCCAGCUGAUGAAUCCGGAACAAGACGAAAUGCACAUCCCGGAU
rnacentral:hammerhead_ribozyme from 1 species